CCUACGGGAGGCAGCAGUGGGGAAUUUUCCGCAAUGGGCGAAAGCCUGACGGAGCAAUACCGCGUGAGGGAAGAAAGCCUACUGGGUUGUAAACCUCUUUUUUCAGGGAGGAAAAAAUGACGUGUACCUGAAGAAUAAGCAUCGGCUAACUCCGUGCCAGCAGCCGCGGUAAGACGGAGGAUGCAAGUGUUAUCCGGAAUUACUGGGCGUAAAGCGUCUGUAGGUGGUUUAAUAAGUCAACUGUUAAAUCUUGAGGCUUAACUUCAAAACAGCAGUCGAAACUAUUAGACUAGAGUAUAGUAGGGGUAAAGGGAAUUUCCAGUGGAGCGGUGAAAUGCGUAGAUAUUGGAAAGAACACCGAUGGCGAAAGCACUUUACUGGGCUAUUACUAACACUCAGAGACGAAAGCUAGGGUAGCAAAUGGGAUUAGAUACCCCAGUAGUCCUAGCUGUAAACAAUGGAUACUAGAUGUUGAACAGAUCGACCUGUGCAGUAUUAAAGCUAACGCGUUAAGUAUCCCGCCUGGGAAGUAUGCUCGCAAGAGUGAAACUCAAAGGAAUUGACGG
rnacentral:rRNA from 1 species